UACAUGAUAUUAGUAUUUUCUGAAAUGUCUUGAUUUAAAUGAAAAUUGAUUUUUCUUGGUGGAAAGCAGUGCUUUGAUGAAAGUUUUUUUCUCUGUACUAGUAAGACAGGCAAGGUCUGUAUUAUGUAUUGGCCUCUAUUCAGAGAGUGAGACAUCUGCUACUGCAGGGGGCAGAGGGAAGCCUGCAGGAACGAUGCUAUCAAAAAGGCCUUAAGCACAACUCUCUUGUCAUUUGUCCAUGUAAAUAAUUAAAUUUCUUCAAGCAGUUUGCAGGGAAUUUUAUCAGAAUGUUGCAAGUUGACUUAGGGCUAAGGCUUUUCCUUCUUCCUUUCUGUGAUGCUCUUUGCAGAGCUGCCACACCUCCAGGAGGAUGUGCACCCAUUGCACAGUGCCCCAAGCUGCCACACACUGGGAGCAACCCCUGGAGCUGCUUUCCCUUUUGGGGUUUUCAGGGUCUCCAGCACUAGAAAUAGGCUGCAAGAUGUGCUUGCUGGUGUCUCAGGUGAUGUGUCUCAAAGAAUUAAAGAAAAGGAAGUGUAACAUUAUCCAUCUGGCUGGCAGCCCUUUGAGGAGCGGCUCUUUCCUCCUGUAGCUGUGAGGAUUAGAAGCAGCCCAUCUUCUUCAGCAGAUCCAGGCAGGCAGGUUAAGUGCUGUGCCUAAGACUCCAGGAUCUGAGGGCAGGCAAUUCCCUGAACUCACAAAAUCAUGACUUGGCAAAACCGUGUUAGCUGCAGAGCUGUUCGUGCUCUUAACCUGUAUUUCUCCUAGGCCAAUUAUGCUGAGCUUCUACUGAGGGCUAUAAUGGCUGGGCACACUCCCUUGAACCAAUGAUGUAGGUGGAUGGAGAAGACGAGCGGCCUGCUAAUGAGGAAAUGGCUGCUUGCUAGUAAUGCAUAGCUAAUGACCCCUGUCUCCAGCAGUCCACAACCAGGCGGAACAAAAAAUCUAUUUCCACCAAGUGCUUCAUUACCAUUUUGCUACACUCUGAUGAACAGCUUGGUUUGGUGGGGAGAGAAGGAAGAGUGAUGUGGCUGGGAUGUGGCUGUUGGAAGGAGAAGUAGCAUGGCUUUCCUGCUUCAGCCUGGCCCAGCCCCUGUGCCUCUCUGGGCAUUGCAUGGGGUUGUGAUACAUGCUGUGGGAAACAAGGGAGUGCCAAAAUGGAGAGGGUUCAGAGCUGGGUGUCUGUCACCUCUUCAGCCUCCUGUAGGCUAACACCCUUCUGGGCCUGGGAAAGGAAUGGGAGGUAGGAUGGAGCUCUGAGAAGCAGGUAAACCCCAGGGUAAAAGGUUUGUAGUCACUGUUGAUCCUUGGCUGUUGAAACCAGUGCCAGAUACCGGCAGGCCUGGGCUGUGCUAUGAGCACAGUGAAGGCAACAGGUUGAGUCCCCAUGUGCCAAAGCUCAGGUAUGUGAGGCUGCAUUGGCGUCUCUAAAAGGAUUGGGUUUGUUCUGUGUUUCUCAGUUUCCUGGGGUGUGAGGGUGGGCAGAGGAUAGGUGGGCAGGGCAGAAAAAUCUGCUGAAGGAUUUCUUCCUAUCAUCAGGGUAAACUCUUGUCGUGCAGCUCCUGCACCUCUCCCCUCACGUUUGGAAUUAAAAAUACAUUUCUGAACACGUUAGUGAGCAAUUCAGGCUUUCUGCACUACAGAGCCCAUCUUCUGACCAGGUCCUGUGACACCUACUCAUGUCAGUUGAUUUGGCCUCACUGGGCUGCUGUGGUUGGUAAAACGUAUUGAGAUGCUUCCAAGAUGGUAAAGAAAUACGAAUGGUUGCUGUUAGGCUAAUUUAUUACUAUUUAGCAGAGAACAAAUACAUUUUAAAAGGAUAAUGGCAAAUUAAAAAUCCUAUUAAGCAAAUUUGCUUACCUAGUACUUAGUAACAACUUGGGCUUAGAUCCCACAGUCAUUUAAAUGCAUGCAAAACUUUACACAAAUAUGCGGGCCCAGAGAAAUCUUGAAUCUCAGCGGGAUCGAGAACAUGGAUAUUAAGUAUGAAAUAAUUAUUAACCCUGCUGCCAAAUUAGUCUUUCACUCUUGGCACCACUAGUCUCCCGACUCUCUGCUUUUGCUUGGAAAAUGAAAAUCGAUGGGGUCAGGUUUACUUCUGUUUCUAGUCAGCGUCAAUUCAGUAACCUCAAUGCAGAGCUGGUUUUGCAAGAGAGUGUGGUAUCGAUCCUGUUUCUGAUCUGCAGCUCUUGACAUCACAGAGAAACCUGUGCUAGCCUGGGAGGCUGCUCUUGUCUGUACCACUGGGUUGGGAGGGCUGUGCUCACUUUCUGACUAGGGUCUGUGAGAUGAGUUGCUGUGCCCCAAGGCACAGUGCAGGGAGCUGUCUGGCUGCUGUUGGCCAGUGUGAUGGUCUGUGCUACCACGAGCUGGCUAGCCAGGGGCAGCCAAAAGCUGGAUUUGCUAUGGAAAGGUCACUCUGAAACUUUGCUGUCUUUGUCUGUCCCUCAGGUGUGCCACCACCCCACACAGCUCGGUGUCAUCUGCAAACUGCUGAGGGUGCCCCCUGUGCCACUGCCAGUGUCAUUGAUGAAGAAAUCAAAGAGCACCGGUGCCAGGGCUGACCCCUGAGGGACACCACUCAUCACUGAUCUCCACCCGGCCCCUGAGCCAUUGACCACCACUCUCUGGGUACAAUCUCACAGCCAGUUCCUCGUCCACUGAACAGUCCACGCAUCAAAUCCAUCUUUCCAGUUCUGAGAGAGGGGUGCUGUGGGAGACUGUGUCAAAGGCCUUACUGAAAUCCAGGUAGAUGACAUCAGAGGCUGUUGUUAUGCCAUCAUAGAAGGGCGCUGUGUUGCUAAGGAGGACCUGCCCUUGAUAGUUGUCUCAUAGCAGGUCCCCCCCUUUCAUGUGCCACAGCAUAGCUUCCAGGAGGAUCUGCUCCAUGAUACUGCCCAGCACAGAGGAGAGGCUGACAGGAAGCUCCCCGGCUGUGGCUGUUGUGCAUGUUGAGGAGAUGCAUCACUGAAGGAUUAAAAUACAACUGCUGUGAGCUGGGAAGCAAAGCAGGCCAGGACUAGAAGCUGCCGUGGAAGGAGAGGCACAUGAUGAAGUCUCCAGAGCUGCUUGCUGAUGGGACCCACAGCCACCAUCCUGCACCCUGCUCUGGGCAUCCAGAGACCCCCAGCACUGCCUGAGUCCACGAGGAAAUAGCCUGGAAACCUCAGGUGCCGUGGGGGGGAAUGCUGUACUUUGUUGAGGUUCACACUGCUCCUCUGAUCCUUGGCUCAGCUAAGUGCAUUGUUUUAAAGGGAAAGAGGAAAAAUUUCCUUCACAGGGCAAUAUUUCUUUAGUACCUCAGUAAUGAAGGUGGAUUGGGAAAUGAACCGUUCCCUAUUACAGUGGGACCUAACUGCACAGCCCAUGCUUUCCAGUUAAAAUUUGAUUGCCUUGAAUCCUGAAGAUUAUGGAAAAUAAGAAAAAGGCCCAGUAAAAUUUAUGGCUUUUAAUCAUAAAGCAGUAGAAUUGCAGUAAAUCUAUCAUAAGCAAGCAGAUAGGGACCCAGAAAAAAGAGGGAAGCCAUAGGCCUGGUGCUGGGGUCUGGAGGAGCAGGGCUUCAGGAUGGAGCAGGGCUGCAGCCCCCACCUCCUCCAAGGUGUUUAUCCCACAUGUGCAGGGCCCUUCUGUGCCAUCCUGCAGAGUCAUGGCCUGGCAAAGAGCUGGGCAGGGCUAGGGGGCAUGAAGAUAGUGAGGAGUGGUGAGGUGGGAGCAGGGGAUGGGGCAGGAUGGGGGGAGACCUUCAUUCCCAUUUUUAAGAAAGACCUGAGUAACUACAGACUGGGAGGAUCAUGGAGAAGAUCCUCCUGAAAGAGAUGUUAAGGCACAUGAGGAGGUGAUUCGAGGCAUCUAGUGUGGCUUAACCAAGGGCAGAUUGUGCCUGACCCAUCUGAUGGCCUUCUAUGAUAGAAUGAUGGCACUGGUGUACAAAAACUGAACAUGGUCCAGCAGUGUGCUCCUGCAGUCUGGAAGGCUGAUGGCAUCUUGGGCUGCAUCAACAGAGCAGUGGCAGUGGGCAGGG